rnacentral:lncRNA from 1 species
CUUAAACAACCCAAACGGAUACCCUUACUUUUUAAACCACAAGACUUCAAAAAUCUCACGCUAGGAUGAUUUCGUGCUCGGAUCAUAUCCUUCUCGAUAUAGGGCAAAUGCAACAAACCGGAUAUUUCUACCAAAGUAGGAGUCAUUUCACAUUCCCCAAACCUGAACACCAAACUACUUGGAUCCCAAAAGGUCAACAAAGCCUCUAUUAAAUCUGGACGAGGGGUAAUAUGCAGAAGUUCCGUAAGAUCACCUAAUAUUUUAAUCAGUUUCUGCUGAUCAACAUAGUUAAACAUUUCC